UACAGAGGGUGCGAGCGUUGUCCGGAAUCACUGGGCGUAAAGGGCGCGUAGGUGGCUGGGUAAGUGUGCGGUGAAAGUCCGGGGCUCAACCCCGGAUCGGCCGUGCAGACUGCUUGGCUUGAGCAUAGUAGAGGCAGGUGGAAUUCCGGGUGUAGCGGUGGAAUGCGUAGAGAUCCGGAAGAACACCGGUGGCGAAGGCGGCGACCUGGUCCAUUACUGACGCUGAGGCGCGACAGCGUGGGGAGCAAACAGG
rnacentral:rRNA from 1 species